rnacentral:rRNA from 1 species
AGCACGGUUAUGGUGGGCACUCUAAGGAGACUGCCGGUGACAACCGGAGGAAGUGGGGAUGACGUCAAGUCAUCAUGGCCCUUACGGCCUGGGCUACACACGUGCUACAAUGGUCGGUACAAAGGGUUGCCAAGCCGCGAGGUGGAGCUAAUCCCAUAAAACCGAUCGUAGUCCGGAUCGCAGUCUGCAACUCGACUGCGUGAAGUCGGAAUCGCUAGUAAUCGUGAAUCAGAAUGUCACGGUGAAUACGUUCCCGGGCCUU